rnacentral:rRNA from 1 species
GGCGAACGGGUGAGUAAUACGUGAGUAACCUGCCUUUGACUCUGGGAUAAGCCUGGGAAACUGGGUCUAAUACCGGAUAUGACAAGGAACCGCAUGGUUUUUUGUGGAAAGGGUUUGUACUGGUUUUAGAUGGGCUCACGGCCUAUCAGCUUGUUGGUGAGGUAAUGGCUCACCAAGGCGACGACGGGUAGCCGGCCUGAGAGGGUGACCGGCCACACUGGGACUGAGACACGGCCCAGACUCCUACGGGAGGCAGCAGUGGGGAAUAUUGCACAAUGGGCGCAAGCCUGAUGCAGCGACGCCGCGUGAGGGAUGACGGCCUUCGGGUUGUAAACCUCUUUCAGCAGGGAAGAAGCGAAAGUGACGGUACCUGCAGAAGAAGCGCCGGCUAACUACGUGCCAGCAGCCGCGGUAAUACGUAGGGCGCGAGCGUUGUCCGGAAUUAUU